rnacentral:rRNA from 1 species
CACACUAUCAUUAACUGAAUCCAUAGGUUAAUGAGGCGAACCGGGGGAACUGAAACAUCUAAGUACCCCGAGGAAAAGAAAUCAACCGAGAUUCCCCCAGUAGCGGCGAGCGAACGGGGAGCAGCCCAGAGCCUGAAUCAGUGUGUGUGUUAGUGGAAGCGUCUGGAAAGGCGCGCGAUACAGGGUGACAGCCCCGUACACAAAAAUGCACAUACUGUGAGCUCGAUGAGUAGGGCGGGACACGUGGUAUCCUGUCUGAAUAUGGGGGGACCAUCCUCCAAGGCUAAAUACUCCUGACUGACCGAUAGUGAACCAGUACCGUGAGGGAAAGGCGAAAAGAACCCCGGCGAGGGGAGUGAAAAAGAACCUGAAACCGUGUACGUACAAGCAGUGGGAGCACGCUUAGGCGUGUGACUGCGUACCUUUUGUAUAAUGGGUCAGCGACUUAUAUUCUGUAGCAAGGUUAACCGAAUAGGGGAGCCGAAGGGAAACCGAGUCUUAACUGGGCGUUAAGUUGCAGGGUAUAGACCCGAAACCCGGUGAUCUAGCCAUGGGCAGGUUGAAGGUUGGGUAACACUAACUGGAGGACCGAACCGACUAAUGUUGAAAAAUUAGCGGAUGACUUGUGGCUGGGGGUGAAAGGCCAAUCAAACCGGGAGAUAGCUGGUUCUCCCCGAAAGCUAUUUAGGUAGCGCCUCGUGAAUUCAUCUCCGGGGGUAGAGCACUGUUUCGGCAAGGGGGUCAUCCCGACUUACCAACCCGAUGCAAACUGCGAAUACCGGAGAAUGUUAUCACGGGAGACACACGGCGGGUGCUAACGUCCGUCGUGAAGAGGGAAACAACCCAGACCGCCAGCUAAGGUCCCAAAGUCAUGGUUAAGUGGGAAACGAUGUGGGAAGGCCCAGACAGCCAGGAUGUUGGCUUAGAAGCAGCCAUCAUUUAAAGAAAGCGUAAUAGCUCACUGGUCGAGUCGGCCUGCGCGGAAGAUGUAACGGGGCUAAACCAUGCACCGAAGCUGCGGCAGCGACGCUUAUGCGUUGUUGGGUAGGGGAGCGUUCUGUAAGCCUGCGAAGGUGUGCUGUGAGGCAUGCUGGAGGUAUCAGAAGUGCGAAUGCUGACAUAAGUAACGAUAAAGCGGGUGAAAAGCCCGCUCGCCGGAAGACCAAGGGUUCCUGUCCAACGUUAAUCGGGGCAGGGUGAGUCGACCCCUAAGGCGAGGCCGAAAGGCGUAGUCGAUGGGAAACAGGUUAAUAUUCCUGUACUUGGUGUUACUGCGAAGGGGGGACGGAGAAGGCUAUGUUGGCCGGGCGACGGUUGUCCCGGUUUAAGCGUGUAGGCUGGUUUUCCAGGCAAAUCCGGAAAAUCAAGGCUGAGGCGUGAUGACGAGGCACUACGGUGCUGAAGCAACAAAUGCCCUGCUUCCAGGAAAAGCCUCUAAGCAUCAGGUAACAUCAAAUCGUACCCCAAACCGACACAGGUGGUCAGGUAGAGAAUACCAAGGCGCUUGAGAGAACUCGGGUGAAGGAACUAGGCAAAAUGGUGCCGUAACUUCGGGAGAAGGCACGCUGAUAUGUAGGUGAAGUCCCUCGCGGAUGGAGCUGAAAUCAGUCGAAGAUACCAGCUGGCUGCAACUGUUUAUUAAAAACACAGCACUGUGCAAACACGAAAGUGGACGUAUACGGUGUGACGCCUGCCCGGUGCCGGAAGGUUAAUUGAUGGGGUUAGCGCAAGCGAAGCUCUUGAUCGAAGCCCCGGUAAACGGCGGCCGUAACUAUAACGGUCCUAAGGUAGCGAAAUUCCUUGUCGGGUAAGUUCCGACCUGCACGAAUGGCGUAAUGAUGGCCAGGCUGUCUCCACCCGAGACUCAGUGAAAUUGAACUCGCUGUGAAGAUGCAGUGUACCCGCGGCAAGACGGAAAGACCCCGUGAACCUUUACUAUAGCUUGACACUGAACAUUGAGCCUUGAUGUGUAGGAUAGGUGGGAGGCUUUGAAGUGUGGACGCCAGUCUGCAUGGAGCCGACCUUGAAAUACCACCCUUUAAUGUUUGAUGUUCUAACGUGGACCCGUAAUCCGGGUUGCGGACAGUGUCUGGUGGGUAGUUUGACUGGGGCGGUCUCCUCCUAAAGAGUAACGGAGGAGCACGAAGGUUGGCUAAUCCUGGUCGGACAUCAGGAGGUUAGUGCAAUGGCAUAAGCCAGCUUGACUGCGAGCGUGACGGCGCGAGCAGGUGCGAAAGCAGGUCAUAGUGAUCCGGUGGUUCUGAAUGGAAGGGCCAUCGCUCAACGGAUAAAAGGUACUCCGGGGAUAACAGGCUGAUACCGCCCAAGAGUUCAUAUCGACGGCGGUGUUUGGCACCUCGAUGUCGGCUCAUCACAUCCUGGGGCUGAAGUAGGUCCCAAGGGUAUGGCUGUUCGCCAUUUAAAGUGGUACGCGAGCUGGGUUUAGAACGUCGUGAGACAGUUCGGUCCCUAUCUGCCGUGGGCGCUGGAGAACUGAGGGGGGCUGCUCCUAGUACGAGAGGACCGGAGUGGACGCAUCACUGGUGUUCGGGUUGUCAUGCCAAUGGCACUGCCCGGUAGCUAAAUGCGGAAGAGAUAAGUGCUGAAAGCAUCUAAGCACGAAACUUGCCCCGAGAUGAGUUCUCCCUGAC